AUGAAGCCGUACGCUCCAGCUUUCAUUCUCCUGUGGAGUGCUGUCGGCAUAGCGAGGGCUGCCAAAAUCGUUGUUGUGCCGCCAAUUAUGUUUGAAAGCCAUCUUUAUAUUUUCAAGACUCUGGCCUCAGCCUUGCAUGACCAAGGUCACCAGACAGUGUUUCUCCUCUCUGAGGGCAGAGAGAUUCCUCCGUCUAAUCACUAUAGACUUCAGCGCUACCCAGGGAUCUUUAACAGCAGCACCUCGGAUGAUUUUCUCCAGUCCAAGAUGAGGAGUAUCUUCUCGGGGAGACUGACAGCCCUUGAACUGUUCGAUAUCCUGGACCACUAUUCCAAGAACUGUGACAUGAUCGUUGGAAACCAAAACCUCAUGCGUGCCCUGAAACAGGAAAAAUUUGACCUGCUCCUGGUAGAUCCCAAUGAGAUGUGUGGAUUUGUUAUAGCUCAUCUUUUAGGGGUUAAAUAUGCUGUCUUUUCCACUGGCCUCUGGUAUCCAGCAGAAGUGGGUGCUCCAGCUCCACUGUCUUAUGUUCCAGAAUUCAACUCGCUGCUCACAGAUCACAUGAACCUAUUUGAGAGGAUUAAAAAUACUUUUGUUUAUCUUAUUUCAAGAUUUGGAGUCAGUUUUUUGGUUCUGCCAAAAUAUGAAAGGAUAAUGCAGAAACACAACGUUCUGCCGGAAAGGUCCAUGUAUGACUUGGUUCAUGGAUCCAGCCUGUGGAUGCUUUGUACUGAUGUAGCACUGGAGUUUCCGAGACCUACGCUACCCAACGUUGUGUAUGUGGGAGGCAUCCUAACCAAACCGGCCAGCCCUCUGCCAGAAGUAAGGUUUGCUGAGCUUUACAAUAACUUCUGUGGUAUCUGGUUGACCUCAUAUGAUGAUGAUGAGUAG